rnacentral:rRNA from 1 species
UACGUAGGCAGCGAGCGUUGUUCGGAAUUACUGGGCGUAAAGAGUGUGUAGGCGGUGCUCUAAGUUCGGUGUGAAAUCUCCUGGCUUAACUGGGAGGGUGCGCCGGAAACUGGAGUGCUCGAGCGUGGGAGAGGAAAGCGGAAUUCCUGGUGUAGCGGUGAAAUGCGUAGAUAUCAGGAGGAACACCUGCGGUGUAGACAGCUUUCUGGACCACUUCUGACGCUGAGACACGAAAGCGUGGGUAGCAAACAGG